AGCUCAGGGGUAGAGCACCUGGUUGUGAUCCAGGACGUCGCGGGUUCAAAUCCCGUC
rnacentral:tRNA from 1 species